rnacentral:rRNA from 1 species
UACGUAGGGGGCUAGCGUUGUCCGGAAUCAUUGGGCGUAAAGCGCGUGUAGGCGGUUCGGUAAGUCCGCUGUGAAAGUCGGGGGCUCAACCUCGGAAUGCCGGUGGAUACUGUCGGGCUUGAGUACGGAAGAGGCGAGUUGGAAUUCCUGGUGGUAGCGGGUGAAAUGCGCAGAUAUCAGGAGGAACACCAAUGCGAAGCAGCUCGCUGGGACGUUACUGACGCUGAGACGCGAAGCGUGGGGAGCAAACAG